rnacentral:rRNA from 1 species
AUUGAACGCUGGCGGCAGGCCUAACACAUGCAAGUCGAACGGUAGCACAGAGAGCUUGCUCUCGGGUGACGAGUGGCGGACGGGUGAGUAAUGUCUGGGAAACUGCCCGAUGGAGGGGGAUAACUACUGGAAACGGUAGCUAAUACCGCAUAACGUCGCAAGACCAAAGUGGGGGACCUUCGGGCCUCACACCAUCGGAUGUGCCCAGAUGGGAUUAGCUAGUAGGUGGGGUAAUGGCUCACCUAGGCGACGAUCCCUAGCUGGUCUGAGAGGAUGACCAGCCACACUGGAACUGAGACACGGUCCAGACUCCUACGGGAGGCAGCAGCGGGGAAUAUUGCACAAUGGGCGCAAGCCUGAUGCAGCCAUGCCGCGUGUAUGAAGAAGGCCUUCGGGUUGUAAAGUACUUUCAGCGGGGAGGAAGGCGGUGGAGUUAAUAACUUCACCGAUUGACGUUACCCGCAGAAGAAGCACCGGCUAACUCCGUGCCAGCCGCCGCGGUAAAAC